UGGGGAAUAUUGCACAAUGGGCGGAAGCCUGAUGCAGCGACGCCGCGUGGGGGAUGAAGGCCUUCGGGUUGUAAACUCCUUUCGACAGGGACGAAGCUUUUGUGACGGUACCUGUAUAAGAAGCACCGGCUAACUACGUGCCAGCAGCCGCGGUAAUACGUAGGGUGCGAGCGUUGUCCGGAAUUACUGGGCGUAAAGAGCUCGUAGGUGGUUUGUCGCGUCGUCUGUGAAAUUCCGGGGCUUAACUCCGGGCGUGCAGGCGAUACGGGCUGACUUGAGUGCUGUAGGGGAGACUGGAAUUCCUGGUGUAGCGGUGAAAUGCGCAGAUAUCAGGAGGAAUACCGAUGGCGAAGGCAGGUCUCUGGGCAGUAACUGACGCUGAGGAGCGAAAGCAUGGGUAGCGAACAGGAUUAGAUACCCUGGUAGUCCAUGCCGUAAACGGUGGGCGCUAGGUGUAGGGGGCUUCCACGUCUUCUGUGCCGUAGCUAACGCAUUAAGCGCCCCGCCUGGGGAGUACGGCCGCAAGGCUA
rnacentral:rRNA from 1 species